GUUAGGGUGGCAGAGACUGGCAAUUGCAAAGGUCCUAAGCUCCUUCAUCCAGAGGUUCAAAUCCUCUCCUUAACU
rnacentral:tRNA from 1 species